rnacentral:tRNA from 1 species
GGCAACAUAGCCAAAAAGGAAAGGCAAAGGUCUGCAAAACCUUGACUCCCGGUUCGAAUCCGGGUGUUGCCUCCA